CCAUCAUUGAUUUUGGACUAAGGAGGAGUAAAUAUACCCUCCUCUAAUAGUCCAUCUCAAUAUAAUUUAUUUGAUUAGCAAUAGACAUUUAAAAUAUACAAAUAUGGUAGUUUAUAGAUGAAUAUUACAUACAUACGUUCAUACAUAUAUACAUAAAUAUGUACAUAUAGUAACAUUAUCUAAGAGAAAUUAGUGAACAUCAAAUAUGUCUUAUCAUGUAGAUCAAAUAUUGGGAAGAAAUCCUUUAUUAUGUUUAAAAUAUUGGGAAGAAAUUUUUUCUGGCGCUCUAAAAGUUUAGCCGAGCAGGAUCUCAAAGAAAAAUUAUUAUAAUCUAUGGC
rnacentral:lncRNA from 1 species